CUAAUGUGCCCAUUUCAUCAGAAAGUCACAGGGAGCAACCGGUGGGACACUCUGGCCUACCUCCUGGAGAGAAGGGGAAAUCUGAUUCUGAGCUGAGGUGCUACCAGGCCCCCCCAUGUCCCCAUGCUGUCCCCUCCCCUUGCCCUAGAGCCCCUGGCCUGCUCGGUUACUCCCUCUCAUGCCACCUCCUUAGCUAUUGAGUCAUGCCAAAGGGGUAAGAAAUUGCUUUCUCUGUUCUAGGAAAGAGGAAUGCUGGACCCUGCUGUUCAGAUACCUUACCACCACCCCGACUCCCCUGUCCCCCAUCAAUUCCAGGUGACAGAACCAAAGGCGACCUUGUUGCCCAAGCAGAGUGAAGCUUCAGGGAAUUCUGGGGAGCUUCGUUGGGGAGUCGGGGGGAGGCCUGGCAGGGGGCCCAUCCUGCCUUGGUUCUUGGUUGUGUGCAGAGAGACAGGCUUCUCUCAGGAAAACCCGACACUGGCCACUUGGCUGGGUCCCUUGGGGGGGCACAGUGGCCUUGAGGUGGACAAGAAAAACAACGCGAUGACUUCUCUUUCUCUCCCCUCCGUGGUCCUGCCUGGCAAGAGGAGCAGGGACAGCCCCAUCAAGUGGCACCCGGGUGGGGAGUUCAUGGAGGGAGGAGGAAAACAGCGGGUCAGAACUGAGGGUGCAAAACCAAAGGUGCGUGGUUCAGAGAGCAGGGUUGGGAAGGGCUAAGAUGAGAAGGUCCCCUGGGGGUGACUCAGACAGUAAAGAAUCCGCCUGCAAUGCGGGAGACCUGGGUUCGAUCCCUGGAUUGGGAAGAUCCCCUGAUGGAGGGCCUGGCACCCCAUCCAGUAUUCUUGUUUGGAGAAUCCCAUGGACAGAGGAACCUGGUGGGCUACAGUCCAUGGGGUUGCAAAGAGUCGGACACGACUGAGCCACAAAGUGCCCAAGAUGAGACGAGACUGGCACUCCAGGCCCCGAGGGUGGUGCUCCAGUGGGCUCUGCCUGCAGAACGUGUCCUGAACCUACUACUUCCCAGCACCUCUGCCUGGCAUGCAACCCUGCCUGAACCACAUGCCCUCACAUGUAUCCUUAUUGACCCUCCCCGCCUGACUGCUCCCCCUUCUUCUUUUUUAAAAUAUUAUAGAUGUCAAUUUUAUUUUUAUUUAUUUAAAUAAAAUUUGGCCGCAUGACAUGCGGGAUCUUAUUUUCCUAACCAGGGAUCCAACUCCUGCGUCUUGCAGUGAAAGUGCGAAGUCUUAACCACUGGACUGCCAGGGAAGUCCCUACUCCCUCUUUCUUAUAUUCCAUGUGGGGUCAGAAUAAUCUGUAAGAAAAGAAGGACAUUAUCAUGUCACUGCUGGACCCAAAACCCUGAGCAGCUUCCAAAUUUCUGCCUGGAUCUCCAACUUCACCGCCUCUCCCCCUCCUCACCCCUCACUGGUUAACAGGCCUCCAAACUGUUCCUGGAACCCCCAAUCUAGCUUCAGUCCUCUCCCAUCCCCAGUAGCACCUAGUCUAGGAUUGCCAGAUUAAACAGAGGACAUCCAGUUACAUUGGAAUUUAUACAAACAACAAAUCUUUUUUCUUUUUCUUUGUAGCAUAAAUAUGUCCCCAGUAGCGGAUUCAUUGCUUAUCUGAAAUUUAAAUGUAACUGCACAGUCCGUACUUUUAUUUGCUAAAUCUAGCAGUCUUAGUCCUGUUCACCCCCUCUAGAUGUGAUAUUUAUUAGAUCAACUGUCCUGUGUUCCUGGGCUAUUAGGAGCAGGUGGAAAGCUAACUUGCAAGUAUGUUAUUUUACAUAAGCGUGUUUAAGUACCAUUAGUUUAAAUAAACUCUUUAAUUUCAAAUAAAGACAUGAAUUUUAAAUACAUUUAUUUUUCCAACAUAAAUCUACUUGAUGUAUGUGGGGUGUCCUAG
rnacentral:lncRNA from 1 species